GAUGAACGCUGGCGGCGCGCCUAAUACAUGCAAGUCGAGCGAACAGACGAGGAGCUUGCUCCUCUGACGUUAGCGGCGGACGGGUGAGUAACACGUGGAUAACCUACCUAUAAGACUGGGAUAACUUCGGGAAACCGGAGCUAAUACCGGAUAAUAUAUUGAACCGCAUGGUUCAAUAGUGAAAGACGGUUUUGCUGUCACUUAUAGAUGGAUCCGCGCCGCAUUAGCUAGUUGGUAAGGUAACGGCUUACCAAGGCGACGAUGCGUAGCCGACCUGAGAGGGUGAUCGGCCACACUGGAACUGAGACACGGUCCAGACUCCCACGGGAGGCAGCAGUAGGGAAUCUUCCGCAAAGGGCGAAAGCCUGACGGAGCAACGCCGCGUGAGUGAUGAAGGUCUUCGGAUCGUAAAACUCUGUUAUUAGGGAAGAACAAAUGUGUAAGUAACUAUGCACGUCUUGACGGUACCUAAUCAGAAAGCCACGGCUAACUACGUG
rnacentral:rRNA from 1 species